CAAGUCGAACGCGAAAGUUCCUUUCGGGGGACGAGUAGAGUGGCGCACGGGUGAGUAACACGUAGGUAAUCUACCUUUGGAUUGGGAAUAACAACCGGAAACGGUUGCUAAUACCGAAUAAUGCAGCGGCACCUAAUGGUGACAGUUGUUAAAGCGGGGGAUCGCAAGACCUCGCGUCUAAAGAGGAGCCUGCGGCGGAUUAGCUAGUUGGUAAGGUAAUGGCUUACCAAGGCGAUGAUCCGUAGCCGGCCUGAGAGGGCGGUCGGCCACACUGACACUGACAUACGGGUCAGACUCCUACGGGAGGCAGCAGUCGGGAAUUUUGGGCAAUGGGCGAAAGCCUGACCCAGCAACGCCGCGUGAAGGAUGAAAUCCCUCGGGAUGUAAACUUCGCAAGAACGGGAAGAAUAAGUGAGAGUUAAUAUCUCUUACGAUGACGGUACUGUUUGUAAGCUCCGGCUAACUCCGUGCCAGCAGCCGCGGUAAUACGGGGGGAGCAAGCGUUGUUCGGAUUUACUGGGCGUAAAGGGCGCGUAGGCGGCCACCGCAAGUCGAUUGUGAAAUCUCCGGGCUUAACCCGGAAAGGUCAACCGAUACUGCGGGGCUAGAGUGCAGAAGGGGCAACUGGAAUUCUCGGUGUAGCGGUGAAAUGCGUAGAUAUCGAGAGGAACACCUGCGGCGAAGGCGGGUUGCUGGGCUGACACUGACGCUGAUGUGCGAAAGCUAGGGGAGCGAACGGGAUUAGAUACCCCGGUAGUCCUAGCCUUAAACGAUGAAUGCUUGGUGUCUGGGGUUUUAUAGUCCC
rnacentral:rRNA from 1 species